GAACAAUCGUAUAAGUGGCCAAGGGAUGUCUUAGAAACUGUGCUUUCUUUUAUUCGCACGAGGAUUGUUCGAACCGCUUAAGUGAUGUGCUGCUGCCUCUUUAUUUUCGUUCCUGAUUUAAUGACGGCGCAAUUCUUCUUCACUGCAUGAACAAACGAGGUACGUACUAUUCUGCUUGGUACAGUAACAAAAUUCGCAGCCACUGCUUAAAUUGUUUUCUAUGCAUUGCUGCCCCUGUCAGCUAGCAUUGCAGACAGCUGGAAGCAGAGCAGGAUGUGUUCACACAGGGUUCAGAAGACAAUCCAGGCGCACCAAAUAAAGCUAAAACUGUUAGUAGGGGUGCUCGUACUAAUAGUGAAAAUUUCAUUUGCUCAGCGGACCCCGGAUAUCCGUUGUCCUGUGAGAUACCAUGAAAGUGGAUGUUUUUUUCUGGGAUACUUUAUUCCAGCUGGUCAAAGUAUGGAAAUUCGAAACCCCUGUGUCUUUAUUUCUUGUUCUACGAAUGGACUGACAGUUUCAAUCACUGGGUGCCCGACGGCAGCCGGGAGACGCCGGCACGACCACAGAGCGUCUGCACGAUCUCCCGGAGGAUUUCCCGCCUGUUGCGAACGAUGUCGUGCUGCUUAGAGUAUCGCUGUCACUAGAUUUCUAAGACUUUGAGUGUGUUCAUAAAAAUGCGGCACUCUGCCCCAGCAAUCUGCCACACAAGCAAGAUGGGAACUUGUGCGCAUACAUUGGCAAACAAAUUUAAAACUAUUGAAGAGAGAAAAACUUCACUGUUCAUGGCCACCAUAUACAAUAAACGUUGCUUACAUCUUGGCUUAGUCGUGCCGCUGUCUCUCUCCGUCCGAUCUAAAUUUUUCUGUUUAUUCCCCUACUCAUCCCUUCGUGCACGGCAGCCAACUAAGGUACAUGUGGUUAACCACCCUGUCUCUCUACAUAUAUCGGUUCUCUCCCUUGGUUGUAUUCGAGGAGGGGAGUAGUUGUUUCAAAGGGAAGCUUCGGAAAUGGUAAUCAAACGUGUUAGAAGGAGAGCGUUGUGCUCGUGAAAUGAAAGGAAGGCUUCUGGCACUACCCAUUAUGUAUGCCCCAACGCACAACUUUUCAUGUUCUCCUUUAUGACACCAGUUCAUUUAUCAAAAAUAACCAUACAAAAGGGCACAUAGAUUUUGAUAAAAAUUGGCAGAUGCACUUAAAUUGGCCCUCUGAUGUUUCCACCAAGUUUUCAGAGUGAUACCUUGAGAAUAUGUUAUUCAGACGAAUUUUUUGCCUUUGCAUUGUCUGGUAGGCCUGGGGAGCCCAAAAAUGCAGUGUAAGCCAUGUUGAGUAUUGACUGCCUCGUUAAAUGAGAGCUGAAAGUCUUCACAUUCUUGACUUUUUUUUUCGGAAGAUAAAAUUUUGCAUUAGUUUUAUCAUAAGAGGCGAACAAAUACUGACACCAAGGACAACAUUAAGGAAAUUACUUAGCCAUUGCUAAAACGAUCGAAGACACCAUCUGACUCCGCGAAAUUCAUCACAUUUUUCUAGAGCUCAAUAAACGUUUUUCCUCCUCCUC